AUUGAACGCUGGCGGCAUGCUUUACACAUGCAAGUCGAACGGCAGCGCGGGCUUCGGCCUGGCGGCGAGUGGCGAACGGGUGAGUAAUACAUCGGAACGUGCCCAGUAGUGGGGGAUAGCUCGGCGAAAGCCGGAUUAAUACCGCAUACGACCUGAGGGUGAAAGCGGGGGAUCUUCGGACCUCGCGCUAUUGGAGCGGCCGAUGGCAGAUUAGCUAGUUGGUGGGGUAAAGGCCUACCAAGGCGACGAUCUGUAGCUGGUCUGAGAGGACGACCAGCCACACUGGCACUGAGACACGGCCCAGACUCCUACGGGAGGCAGCAGUGGGGAAUUUUGGACAAUGGGCGAAAGCCUGAUCCAGCAAUGCCGCGUGUGUGAUGAAGGACUUCGGGUUGUAAAGCACUUUUGGCGGGAACGAAAAGGACUGUGCCAAUACCACGGUUCGAUGACGGUACCCGCAGAAUAAGCACCGGCUAACUACGUG
rnacentral:rRNA from 1 species